UUGUAUUAGAUUCACUCCGUUGGGAUAGCCGAGCCGAGCGAUCUUAUUGCUAAGCCAUAUGGGCAUACCCAUCCCUCCCUAUAGGUAACAGCCACCCGCCUAGGACUCUGCCUUUUAUACUAUUCCCCGGUCCUUCUCUUUUCUCCUUUAUCUGAAUUUUGAUGGAUCUCUCCACUUUACAUCUACUUCUUGACAUACCAAUAGAGAAUAUAGGACAAGAAGGAACGCACACUCUCUCUCUCUGUGGGCAAGACCCACUUUAGAACAAGUGGUAAGUGGACGUGGUGGGCGUGUCAGAAGAUAGAUAAAAAGGCUGAAAACUUGUGGUUAGUUUUAGCCAUGGCGCGGAUUGCAAUAUAUGCCAGCAGUUACGCCUCGUAAAAUAUACCCAAAAUUCUUCUUCUUUUACUAGUAAUUUCUUCAAGAUCUCAUGGCAGCGAAGAAACUAUAUGAGUCUUUUUCAAAGGGACUGUUUGAGGAGGUGCAGCGAUGGGGUUCCAUGAAGCAGACUGGUGUGAGUCUCAAGUACAUGUUGGAGUUUGGCUCCACACCAACUGCCCGCAAUUUGUUGAUUUCUUCUCAAUUCCUUCAUAAGGAACUGCCUAUACGGAUUGCUCGCAGGGCUAUUGACCUCCAAAACCUUCCCUAUGGCUUAUCUCUUAAGCCUGCUGUUCUAAAGCAAGGAACUGCCUAUAAGGAUUGCUCGCAGGGCUAUUGACCUCCAAAACCUUCCUUAUGGCUUAUCUCUUAAGCCUGCUGUUCUAAAGGUAGCUUCUUUUCUCUUUCCUCUUUUGACUUGGAAAUCUUUGAUUAUUCUAUUAAAAAAAAAAUUAUCCCCGCUAUUAUAUUGGUUCACAAGAAAAUUGUUGCUAGGUUUUUAAUUUUAAACUAAUGCGUUAUUGUAAUUUGCUAGGUUUUUC
rnacentral:lncRNA from 1 species